rnacentral:rRNA from 1 species
UACGGAGGGUGCAAGCGUUAUCCGGAUUCACUGGGUUUAAAGGGUGCGUAGGUGGGUCUGUAAGUCAGUGGUGAAAUCUCCGAGCUUAACUCGGAAAACUGCCAUUGAUACUAUAGGUCUUGAAUCAUCUGGAGGUAAGCGGAAUAUGUCAUGUAGCGGUGAAAUGCUUAGAUAUGACAUAGAACACCAAUUGCGAAGGCAGCUUACUACGGGUGUAUUGACACUGAGGCACGAAAGCGUUGGGGAUCAAACAGG